rnacentral:rRNA from 1 species
GUGGGGAAUAUUGGACAAUGGGCGAAAGCCUGAUCCAGCAAUGCCGCGUGAGUGAUGAAGGCCUUAGGGUUGUAAAGCUCUUUUACCCGAGAUGAUAAUGACAGUAUCGGGAGAAUAAGCUCCGGCUAACUCCGUGCCAGCAGCCGCGGUAAUACGGAGGGAGCUAGCGUUGUUCGGAAUUACUGGGCGUAAAGCGCACGUAGGCGGCUUUUUAAGUCAGGGGUGAAAUCCCGGGGCUCAACCCCGGAACUGCCCUUGAAACUGGGAAGCUAGAAUCUUGGAGAGGCGAGUGGAAUUCCGAGUGUAGAGGUGAAAUUCGUAGAUAUUCGGAAGAACACCAGUGGCGAAGGCGACUCGCUGGACAAGUAUUGACGCUGAGGUGCGAAAGCGUGGGGAGCAAACAGGAUUAGAAACCCCUGUAGUCC